rnacentral:tRNA from 1 species
ACUCCUGUGGUGCAAUUAGUAGACACGCUAGGUCGAGAGCUUAGUUUUUACAGGUGCAAAUCCUGUCAGGAGUA